CAGGGUGUAAUCCCAAGGAAGGAGGAAGAGCCAAUACAAGGGUGCACAACCAACCAGGUCACCACUUGGCAUAGAGCAUGACUGAUUGCUCAAUCUCCUGGAAAUGUCUUCUGUGAGAGCACAUGAAUAAAGCCAGCUCAGAACAAUCCACCCAAGGGAAAAAAGGGAAAGGAAUUCAUCCACCUGCUUCCGCUCCCACUAGACUCUGGGGAAGACUUCCCUUAUGGUCAUCAUCAAUGAAGCACUGUCUUUGAGUCAUUGGAAGCCCAGUACUCCCCAGUAGCACAACGGAUGAUGCAACCUAAUGAGUAACCAGCAUUCAGUAAAUGUUGUCAGGGAAAUGCAGAGGCAAGAAGAUCUUUAUUGUUUCAAUAUAAACAGAGCCUGAGGAGCCUGGCAUUGUGAGCAAUAACAAUGUUGCUGCUUUUUUCUUGUGUUUUUUCCUUGUGGUGGGACAUAUGAGCCCAGAGCCACACAUUUGACAGUAAAGAACAGGAGGAGAUGGUGCCUGGAUACUGCAGAGAAUCUUCACAUGCACUAAUUGAAAAAUACUAAAAUACCUAAGUACUUCUUCUGUAUUCACAACUCUCAAUCUUCGUCAAUACCUCAUCAUUCCUCACAUGGGCCCAAUAAUUUUGUAAUACAUUUUAAAAUCAAAUUGUUUAUAUAGGCAGGGCUUCCAAAAACAUAUUUUCCAGGGUCCCAUGCACCUUAGGCACAGCCCUGUUCUCACUUUCAGAUGCAACGUCUUCCGGAAGCUCACACAUGGGCCCCACAUCCAUUUAUCCUCCUUCCAGUAUCCAUGCCCCCACUUUCCUCUGAAAAAAACACUCCCUGCCCAUAAUCAGCCUGCAUGGAAUCUGAUGAAGCAGAGUUGACCAACUCUGGGGAUGAAAGUCCUGACUUAGCCCUAAGCCAGUCAGCAUAUCUCAUUCUGUGGUCCCAGCACUUGGUUCAGGAAUGGGCAUAUGUCCCAAUCAAAGUCAAUGAGAUGCAAUGAAACUUUUAUUUGGGAUUCUAGGAAAGGGACACUCUCUUCCCUGCUGUACCUGAAACCUAACAGCACAUAAGAGCUGGAUCUGUUCCCACCAUCUUGUUGUCGCAUGAGGCCUAGAACUCAAGCAGCAGCUGAAGAAGCAAGUGGAGACAUGGUAAGGGAGCUAGGACCUGGUGAGCUCAUCUGUGUUCCUGAUCAAGCUGCACCUGAAGCCAGGACACACACUUGGACCAUAAGCCAAUAAUAUCCCCUUUUGCGGAAGCAGUUUUGGUUGGAUUUCUUCUUAUUUGCAACCAGAUUAAAUCAAAUGGAUAAUCAUGUCUGAGUGUAAAUGCUUUUGUUGUCCAUAUACUAAUGCCUUCUCAAUUCUGAUUUUUUUGGCUGUCUAACAGA
rnacentral:lncRNA from 1 species